CAAUAAGCGGAGGAAAAGAAACCAACAGGGAUUGCCCUAGUAACGGCGAGUGAAGCGGCAACAGCUCAAAUUUGAAAUCUGGCUACUUUGUAGUCCGAGUUGUAAUUUGUAGAGGAUGCUUUUGGUGAGGUGCUUUCUGAGUUCCCUGGAACGGGACGCCAGAGAGGGUGAGAGCCCCGUACAGUUAGCAACUGAUCCUUUGUAUAGCUCCUUCGACGAGUCGAGUAGUUUGGGAAUGCUGCUCUAAAUGGGAGGUAUAUCUCUUCUAAAGCUAAAUAUAGGCUAGAGACCGAUAGCGCACAAGUAGAGUGAUCGAAAGAUGAAAAGCACUUUGAAAAGAGAGUUAAACAGCACGUGAAAUUGUUGAAAGGGAAGCGCCUAUGACCAGACUUGUUUCUAUCAGUUUUGGUAGUUUUCGGACUGCUUUACUCUGUUAGUACAGGCCAACAUCAGUUUGUUGUCGGGGAGAAAGGCUUAGGGAAUGUAGCUCCCUCGGGAGUGUUAUAGACCUUUGCAUAAUACCCUUUGGCAGACUGAGGACCGCGCUUCGGCAAGGAUGUUGGCGUAAUGG
rnacentral:rRNA from 1 species